GUAAGGGGGCUGGUGACUUUCCCCUCUUUAAGAGGGGAGGAAGUUCCGCCCACCCCAUUUAUGGGCAGCGUCCCCUGAGAAGGGGCGGGAGAUGCAGCAGAAACGACACGGCUCCGGAAGAGAUGACGAUGAUAGUGAAAGUUGAGGACUUCCGGAGAACCGGUGAAACGGGCAUCUCCCCUGCCCGGGGUGCAAGCCGGUUUCGGCGCUUAGCCGAAUGUCACCGAAAUUACAGAAGGCGGGCUAUAGCCCCCAUAC
rfam:Methanocaldococcus jannaschii DSM 2661, complete genome.